CUAUUCAAACAUUUUCGAUUGUAAUUCUCUCUACCUUAUAAUACUUUAACUAUAAAAAUCAGAAUGUACGAUUACCAGCUUCCAAAUACCAACAAAAAAAAUAUUGUAUAUCUUACACACAAUUAUAAUUUUAAGAUUUUGAAGAAGAAUUUAUGUAAUUCAUGUAAUUUCUGAUAAAAAUGUUAAUUUUGAGUUUAGGAAGUGUGAUUAUAAGGAAAUUAUUAAAAAUCGACGGAUGUAAGACAAUCCCCUUCUUACGACUUCGAAGAUGUCGAGUCCAUAAUUUUCUAUAGGUCAAGAUUCGUUGAAGGUUCCAGUGUACGCAAUUGCACACAAUGUUUAAUAAUAUCUAAUUAAAUAAUUAGCUAUGUAGUAGUAUAACAAAAACAAUAAAAUAUUAUUCCCUAAAAUUACAUAUUCUUACUUAUGAAA